GGCCGAUUAGGUAGUUGGUUAGGUAAUGGCUUACCAAGCCGUUGAUCGGUACGGGUUGUGAGAGCAAGAGCCCGGAGAUGGAACCUGAGACAAGGUUCCAGGCCCUACGGGGUGCAGCAGGCGCGAAACCUCCGCAAUGUGAGGAAUCGCGACGGGGGGAUCCCAAGUGCCAUUCUUAACGGGAUGGCUUUUCAUUAGUGUAAAGAGCUUUUGGAAUAAGAGCUGGGCAAGACCGGUGCCAGCCGCCGCGGUAACACCGGCAGCUCUAGUGGUAACAAUUUUUAUUGGGCCUAAAGCGUCCGUAGCCGGUUUAAUAAGUCUCUGGUGAAAUCCUGUAGCUUAACUGUGGGAAUUGCUGGAGAUACUAUUAGACUUGAGACCGGGAGAGGUUAGAGGUACUCCCAGGGUAGAGGUGAAAUUCUGUAAUCCUGGGAGGACCGCCUGUUGCGAAGGCGUCUAACUGGAACGGUUCUGACGGUGAGGGACGAAAGUUAGGGGCGCGAACCGGAUUAGAUACCCGGGUAGUCCUAACUGUAAACGAUGCGGACUUGGUGUUGGGGUGGCUUUGAGCUGCUCCAGUGCCGAAGGGAAGCUGUUAAGUCCGCCGCCUGGGAAGUACGGUCGCAAGACUGAAACUUAA
rnacentral:rRNA from 1 species